GCAUAUCAAUAAGCGGAGGGAAAAGAAACCAACAGGGAUUGCCCUAGUAACGGCGAGUGAAGCGGCAACAGCUCAAAUUUGAAAUCUGGCUUCGGCCCGAGUUGUAAUUUGCAGAGGAUGUUUCUGGCGCGGUGCCUUCCGAGUUCCCUGGAACGGGACGCCAUAGAGGGUGAGAGCCCCGUAUGGUUGGACACUAAGCCUGUGUGAAACUCCUUCGACGAGUCGAGUAGUUUGGGAAUGCUGCUCUAAAUGGGAGGUAAAUCUCUUCUAAAGCUAAAUACCGGCCAGAGACCGAUAGCGCACAAGUAGAGUGAUCGAAAGAUGAAAAGCACCUUGAAAAGGGGGUUAAACAGUACGUGAAAUUGUUGAAAGGGAAGCACUUAUGACCAGACUUGUGCCGGGCGGUUCAUCCGGGGUUCUCCCCGGUGCACUCCGCUCGGUAUAGGCCAGCAUCGGUUCUUUCUGGGGGAUAAGAACGGUGGGAACGUGGCCCUCCCUCGGGAGGGUGUUAUAGCCCGCCGUACGAUACCCUGGAGGGGACCGAGGUUCGCGCUCCGCAAGGAUGCUGGCAUAAUGGUCAUCAGUGACCCGUCUUGAAACACGGACCAAGGAGUCGUCCAUUAGAGCGAGCGUUUGGGUGUAAAACCCGCACGCGUAAUGAAAGUGAAAUUAGGUGAGAGCUUCGGCGCAUCAUCGACCGAUCCUGAUGUUCUCGGAUGGAUUUGAGUAAGAGUUUUAACGGACGGACCCGAAAGACAGUGAACUAUGCUUGUAUAGGGUGAAGCCAGAGGAAACUCUGGUGGAGGCUCGCAGCGGUUCUGACGUGCAAAUCGAUCGUCAAAUAUGAGCAUGGGGGGCGGUAAGCUUCAACCCUUUCCCUCUCGAAAUAACUAUGGAAUAAAUACUAAUAUAUCUUCCUCUUUUUAGAAAGACUAAUCGAWCUGUCUAGUAGCUGGGUACGCGAG
rnacentral:rRNA from 1 species